rnacentral:rRNA from 1 species
UUUUUAUUUAUAUAUAUUGAUAAGAUUGAUUUUGUCUUAUGUUAAUUAGCUUAUUUUGAUAAUAUUAAAUGUAAGUUUUUGCGUGAAUUUAAGGUUGUCUUAAUGAUAAUUUGUUUUAUUUAAUUAUAGUUUUUAAUUUUAAUUUUUACGUUAUUGUAGAGUUAGUUAAUUUUUUAGAAUUGUAAAAGGGAGUGCCAGCAUACGCGGUUAUACUUCUGAUUCAAGUUAAUUUGUUUUGGUUUAUAUUGAUUUUAUUUUUUGGGAGUUUGGAUUUAUUUUUUAAGUGAAAUUUGAAUUUUUUUUAUAUUUUCUUGGUUUAAGAUCAUAUUAAAUUUAGAAUUUAAACUAGGAUUAGAUACCCUAUUAUUCUAAAUGUAAGGUUUAACCAUAUUACUAAUAGUUAAGAUCUUUAAAUUAAAAAAAUUUGGCGGUAAUUUAGUCUUUUCAGAGGAACCUGUUCUUUAAUCGAUAAUCCACGAUGGAUUUUACUUUAAUUUUUGUUUGUAUA